UUUGUUCCGUAGGAGCCUAGGAGCUGGCGGGUUCUCUGCAGAACCCAGGGCGGGGAACAGAAAGCGCCCAAGAGGAGAAAGUGCAGGGAGGCCGGCCCAGCCCAGUGUGGAGGAACACACCUGCUUGACAGGGAAGGAGGGAGCAGAGGCUGGGCGGUGGCUUCUGUGUUCAGGAAGGGACAUCCUGCUUGGGUGACAAGGACUUUGGACAACAAAUUUUGACCACAGCAGGGCUCCAUCAGAUCCAAGAGGCCAGCUUUAAGCCUUGGUUGAAUCUGGACCACAGCCACACGCUGCCGCAGGGAAUUCACGCGUUCAGUCUUCACCGUGCUACACCACCCUGGUCCACCUGCCUUGGGCGCAUCUCCUACAUCCAGAUCUCAUCCACUGCUCCCCCCUGCCUCUCCCCUCCCCUCGUGAGGCUCCUUCUCCUGGAAGCAAUCAGAUGAGAUUUUCUCUCCACACUCCCGGGGUGCCACCCAUACCUUCAGCAGCCCCUGCGUCCACACCCUCUGCCUGCCUCCCUCUGUGCCCCGGCUGCACGGCAGGCUCCUCUGUGAGACGACCUCACCUUCCGGCACGAAAUCCCAGCCCCUCUCACCUCCUCCAGGACCUCAUUCCCCUCAGCUUCUGCUCUUCCUAGAAUCACUACAUCUCCCCUCUUCCUGGAUCAUUAUCCGCACAGACGCGAGCUGGCAUUUCUUCAGUCUUAAAACCCCUUCUGUUGACUGUUUCUAAUUCCUGUUUCAUUUUCCCUUUAAAGCAACACUCCUUAAAAGGGGUA